rnacentral:rRNA from 1 species
AACGAACGCUGGCGGUAUGCUUUACACAUGCAAGUCGAACGGGUAAGAGCCGUAGCAAUACGGAAUUCUGCUAGUGGCAAACGGGUGAGUAACGCGUGGGAACCUACCUUAUAGUACGGAAUAGCCCCGGGAAACUGGGAUUAAUACCGUAUACGCUCUUCGGAGGAAAGAUUUAUCGCUAUAAGAUGGGCCCGCGUUAGAUUAGCUAGUUGGUGAGGUAAUGGCUCACCAAGGCGACGAUCUAUAGCUGGCUUGAGAGGAUGAUCAGCCACACUGGAACUGAGACACGGUCCAGACUUCUACGGGAGGCAGCAGUGGGGAAUAUUGGACAAUGGGCGAAAGCCUGAUCCAGCAAUACCGCGUGAGUGAUGAAGGCCUUAGGGUUGUAAAACUCUUUCAGUAGGGAAGAUAAUGACGGUACCUACAGAAGAAGCACCGGCUAACUCCGUGCCAGCCGCCGCUGUAA